rnacentral:rRNA from 1 species
AUUGAACGCUGGCGGCAGGCCUACCACAUGCAAGUCGAGCGAGCGGCGGACGGGUGAGUAAUGUCUGGGAAACUGCCUGAUGGAGGGGGAUCACUACUGGACACGGUAGCUAAUAACGCCUACCAUCAGUUGUGCCCCGAUGGGGUUAGCUAGUAGGUGGGGUAACGGCCUCCCUAGGCGACGGUCCCUAGCUGGUCGAGGAGGAUGACCAGCCACACGGGAACGGAGACACGGUCCAGACUCAUACGGGAGGAAGCAGUGGGGAAUAUUGCACAAUGGGCGCAAGCCUGAUGCAGCCAUGCCGAGUGUGUGAAGAAGGCCUUCGGGUUGUAAAGCACUUUCAGCGGGGAGGCGUUACCCGCAGAAGAAGCACCGGCUAACUCCGUGCCAGCAGCCGCGGUAAUAC